UUCAGGCAUAAGACCGGUUCUCCUACGGAAUUACAGACAAUCUAUUUUGACUAUGUAAUUUUUAGGGUAUUGCUACGUAGUUGGAGUAGGAAAAAAGAGAAUGCUGGUGGCCAAAAGACAAAGAAGGGAAAAGUUUGUGAAAAUAGAACAAAGGAAGAUCGAAGGACCGGAGUGAGGACCUCAGCUUCAAAUUUUUGCUCUGGUGAGACAGAACCGAGGAAAUUACAAACUUCCCCGACAACAUUGUCGUGUGCAGGUGACCACCGAGACUUCACUGCAAAGAAAGCAAAUAGUUUCUUCUGCUGACUUUGAAGAGCAAGCCACCAUGGGUUCUAUAGCUAAAAGAAAAUGGAUUCUACCAAUCACCACGUGACCUUUAAAGAGGACCUCAGGCAUCUGAUGAGACCUCAGCCCUGGCUGCUACCUUGACUACAUCCUUGUGAUGCCCUGAAUAGAGGACCUAGGCAAGCUGUCCCCAGCCUCUGCUCCAUAGAAACUCUGAGAUAAAAAGUUGUUUGAACCACUAUGUUGUGAUUAUUGCUCAGCAAUUGAAAGCUAAUAUGCUAUCUAAUUGGUAUUUCAUGUGUUGGUUUUUAGAACAAUUGAAUUGAAGCACUUUAGAAAAAAAUCUAUAUAUGAUUUAUAUAUUGACUAUAAAAUAGAUUGUGGUAUAUUUCCAGAUGUUUCUAAAUAAAAGCCUAUGAUUAAGCUUA